GAUUUCUGGCUUGAAACAUUUAGCCGGCCACGGUUUCGUGUGUUAGUGCUUGAUGUUCUGGCCAUCCUUCCAAUCGCUAUUUGCUUUUCUUUAUUGAUUGGCAAGUAGUAUUGGAUCUUUUACUUUGAAAAAAUUAGAGUGUUUCAAGCAGGCUUUAUGCUAUGAAUACAUUAGCAUGGAAUAAUAAUUUAGGACUUCGGUUCUAUUUUGUUGGUUUCUAGGACUGAAGUAAUGAUUGAUAGGGAUAGUUGGGGGUGCUAGUAUUCAGCGGCCAGAGGUGAAAUUCUCGGAUUCGCUGAAGACUAACUUAUGCGAAAGCAUU
rnacentral:rRNA from 1 species